ensembl:lncRNA
UCUUUUCUCAUUUUUUUUCCUCUCAUUCUCUCUCUGCAGAUCAAACAUUCCCUGAAUGGUGGUAGAAGCAGGAGGAAUGUCACUUGCUGAUUUGAAUUUCAGAAAACACCUAAACCACAUUCUGAUCUUCAGCUUGAUCUCUACCUGCAUUGCCCUGGUCACGAUGGUCUGCCACCCAGAUGAACUCCCAGCCACAAGGAAGGUGACAGUUCCAGCAUACAUGGUGAGUUUUGACAACAAUGGAAAACUAACGAAGGACUUCAGGAGUUGCCUGGCUGAGUGGGAAGUCUUCUUAUCAAGCUCAGAGUAAAACCCUGAAGGUUUAAGCUGAGAGAGAAGAACAGCCUAGGCAUGUAAGGAACUGACUUGAAGCAACUGAGUGAAGUUCUAGAAAGAAGUAAUUCUAUUAACUAGAGAUGAUCUCCUGGAAACAUGCGUUUGAUGAGGCUCAGGCAUGUAUGCAUUCAUCCUAGCAGGUGGAUCAAUCUCUGUCUCCCAGUUGCUUUUGUAUCUCUCUUCUAAAUUUCCAUGUGCCCACAUGUAUCUGUAUCUUUCUGGUGGCUUUUUCAAAUCCCUCCCCUAUUGUUUUCCUAAGUGGCCUUCCUCAGGUGAUAGCAGACUUGAAAAGGUAUAGGUAUACCCAGAUUAAGUGUACAAGAUGCAACUGUGCUGAAAGAUAUUAGUUUUUUCCUUAUAGUGUUGAAUCCUACUUCAGGACUGCAGGUUGAACUAGACUUUAUACUAGCUUGUUAGCUGUGUGAGAAGGAAGACCUUAAUCACCUAGAGGAUUUACAUGUGGUUAGUUGUAUGCUGAGAAUGGCUUCAAAAUUGCCAGUGACACCUAAACGAGGGGUCUUAGACGCCUAAUGAGGAGAUCCAGGCUACUUGAAAGGAUCUGGGCCUCAGUCCUAUGGUACCUUCAUUCCCCAGCUGAAAAGACGAUCAGUUUUGCUAUGUAGUAAGAAUCUCUUUCUGUAGUAAAGAUUCCAUUCUGAUUCUACUCAUUUUCUACUAGUCACCUAUCAAAUAAGAGCUUAAUAGAUUCUACUGACUGUGGAUAUAUAGGUAACAGUAACCUCAUAUAAGUAUGAAAAAAGCUGUGAACCUUCUGCUGCAUUCAUAUACAAUUUACCAUUGACCUUUUGUUCCUAGAAGAGGCGACAAUAGGGUUAUGACACCAACCUGAGAAAAAUACCUUAAAAAGAGUAAAUGAACUGUACUGUAUAACUGGGGGAGCUAUGCAAUGUUAUUAUGUUUGGUUUUUAUAUGUAAAAGAAAAAAAAGAUUGAGCCAUACAAGGGAAGAUGCACCUGUAAUACCAGUCUUUUCACUAUGUAUCACUAAUAUACCAAUACUUAUCACUUCAUUCCAUUUAAAAAUUCAUUGCAUUGCGCUUGAAAGUAAUGACGUUCAACCAGUGGAUUUAUAGAUGCCCAAAAUCAGGCAGUAAAGGAUUUUUAUCAGCUUACAGAAUCAUUUUUUAAUUCUCCAGAAUUUUGCAGAAGACUUCAAAGAUCUCAAGCAAACUGCUUGUUYGAAGGACUAAAUAUAAAAAAUAAAGGACAAUUGGAUACAUUUAAUCA